CUUAAAUAUUAGGUGAUAAAUGCUUUCCUUCUGAAAUCUAUUCAGCCUAAAUGCAUUACUCACUGUAUUUUAGCCAAUAUUCAUCCUGUAGCUUAUAAUGAUAUAGUGUCAGGGCUGAGAAUUUGAGCAAAUAAUUACUGAGAGCCAGGUGCCAGGGAAGUGGCAUGGCAGACACGGGGACUUGUACUCUAGAUUGAAGGAAAGGAGGUUUAGAAUAGGUCUGGGAGAGGAGAAAGGGCCUUUUCUGGAAGAGGAAUGAAAUGAGCAGGCACAGAUGUGAGGAUGAGUAUAGGUGGGAAAUAUCCAAACUCUGAAUUUCCCUUUGCAUAAAUAGAAAAAUGACGAUGAUGAUAGAUAAAUAGAUAGAUAGAUAGAUAGUUGAAUAGGUAGGUGUUGAAUGGAGAAACUCACACUGGGAAGCGAAACUCUGUGGUGAUAUUUUAGUGAAGCUUAUUAAAUAGAAAAAUGAAAGAAAAUAUAAAUAGAAAAUUUAUAUCAUUUAAAACUUAUGAAGGAGAUGUUUAUCUUAAUAUAACAAAUAUUGAGAAAUAGGGAAAGAGGGAUUUGAAAACCUAGCAAUUUAAACUUUAUUACUUUUCUGUCUGAGGAUGGAAACUCAGGUUAGAUAUUCAUGCAACAACUGGAAUGACGCAACCGUGUUCUUCCUCCACCUGCGCUCCAGGACUGCAGUUCGGAGGACAAUGGAGCAGUGACUCGCACAGCGCUGGUUGAGUAUAAAUCGGUAUAAUUUCUCUGAAGGAAAAAAAAUAAAUGCCCUAUAGGUCAAAAACCUUGAAAAUGUAUAGAUACUAAUGAUUCUACUGCUUGGAAUUUAUCCAAAAUAAAUGGUCAGAUAAUCCAGGUCAUUAAAAUAGAAUCAACCUAAAUGCGAACUGUACAAGAUUGACUCAAUAAAUUAUAUUAUAUCCAGAUGGCCAUCACCGUGUAAUUCCAGCCAUGAAGAAACAUCACUCUUGACAAUUGUUUCAAGUUCGGGUGAAGUGGAGAAGUUUUCUUCAUCAGCAACCCUUGGAAUUAUGCACAGGUAGUCUAUGAGUUCAGCCACACAAGGGAAGAUGAAAAUGAGACUGCCAGGAAACUUGCAUCCAUCCCCCUUUCCUAUGACUAUGCCGGCUGCCAAAGUGCUGACCAAAGUUGAAAGGUCAGCAGUCAUCUGUGGCAGAUGUGCUUCAUCCUGAUAAACACUUGGUUGCUGGAAACAGUUCUGUUCGCAGAUAGCUUAUAAUUCAGCAAUGAUUGAAAAGAAAAGCAACCUAUAUCCUCUUGCUAAAUUUCCCUUGAGAAGAAUGAGUAAAGUGAGCUGUGUAGCCUUGGAACCAUGGAAGAGAUUUCCUGUGUAAUGUUCACAGUUUUGGCAAGCAGCUGCCACAGAUGGAUUGGAGAAGACCAUCGUGAUCCAAGCAUGGCUAUGUAGAGUGAAGUGAAUGUGGCAAGAACUGUGCCUUUUAUACUGAAUUCAGAUGAGAAUCGGCAUUGACAUUGACAUUUAGAAGGAAGUCUAUAAUUUGGUGGUUGAAACUGCCUGUGAGGUAUUAAAACAGGAUAAAUUUUCAGUUGAAGAAGAGAACUGAUUCAUCAUGAUUGGACAAUAUAUUGAAUGAGACCAGGAAGCCAUCUCUGCUUCCUCGCUUCUCACUUGACCAGGGAGGAUAUAAAUGGCUGUAUGAAGGGGUUUGAGUGACUUGUUCCCGUGAGAACAGUUCUCAAGAAUGAGCUAUCUUCCUAUCUUGCUGAAACACUUGUGUAUUUCUGUGGCACUAAUUAAUACAUGGGGCCCUGACAGAUCACAUUAGUUCAGGGAGAACAUAAGAACCAAGGAAAACAUUCUCAUAUCACUGUCCCAAAGGUCUGCCUAUGGUGUGCCGGUAAAGUUUUACAAUUUUUUUUCCCCUAGACAUUCAAAAUAUUAACUACAAUGUUGCAUUAAUAUAAUGAACUAAUAUUCCUUGGUAUAAUUAAUUUUUCCUACUAAAUUUGAAGACUUUGAAAGCUCUGUAUCUUGGGAUCAAGCCUAUAUGCUUGUUAUUAUAUAUUUUUUUUCCUCAGGCUUGACUGAAAAACGUUUAAGUGUAAGAAUGAAAGAAUAUUGAAGUCAUGAGUUUCUAAUUUCUCUAUGAACAGAUAUCCCACUUAAGGGUAGGGACGAAUGUUUGCUUUCUAGCAGCCAACCCCAAAGCAUCACCAUACACCCCUCAUAUACAAAUCACUUCUUUCUGUAUGUUCCCAUAUCAUUGCGUCCUUGACUAUCACUGUGCUCAGUACUGUGAUUUUAAAAUUAUUUAUCUAUCUAACAUUUUUUUACUGGAUUCUAACUCCAAAAAGGUAGGAAACUGGUCUUAUUUUGUGUGUGUCUCUUCUUCAAACCUUGGUACAGGGUAAGGCAUAUGGUAAUUGCUUAUUGAAUGAAUCAAUACUCCAUUGAAUAGUCAUUUUAUUUUGUUCUCACAUUACUUCUGAACUUGAUCAAC